rnacentral:tRNA from 1 species
GAGGAUCUAGCUCAAGUGUUAGAGCACAUGCUUAACAUGCAUGAGUUCCUGGGUUCAAUCUCCAGUACCUCC